rnacentral:misc_RNA from 1 species
UCUCCGUAGGUGAACCUGCGGAGGGAUCAUUAAAGAGUUCUCGACCUCGCGGGUACAUCUCCCACCCACUGUUAUCGUUACUGCGUUGCUUUGCGGGGCCCCCCGCGGCCGCGCCGCCAAACGCCCCGCCUGGGGCCCCCCCCCCACAUGGCUAACAAACUCUGUCUGUUAUUGUCGUCUGUGAACUAAAUAAUAGAUAAAACUCUCAACUACGGUUGUCUUGGUUGUGGCAUCGAUGAAAAACGAAGCAGACAGGAAGAGCCUGCGUCUGACCUACAG